UUAGCAAGUGACAUUGACUGUCAUGUGUCAUGUUCUAAUUGGAUUUCAAUUCCAUGAAAGAUGAAAUGUAUUAUUGUUUUCAUUGACCAAUCAGAGCAUGACACGUGUCAGUCAUAAUCC
rfam:Glycine soja cultivar W05 C25766398_1, whole genome shotgun sequence.